GGCUACGGCUUGUAUCCGGGUUAGCUAAUGGGUCGGAACCAGGACUGUCGCUCGCUGUCUCGUUCGUGCUCGCGCUCCCCGGUCCCCAGGAGCCGGAGGCGGCGGCGGAGCCGAAGCGGGAGCCGGGGUCGGAGCCGGAGCCGGAGCCGCGAUGGGCGGCGGCGGCGCGAGAGCAGCGAGGGGCGGAAGAGGCGGCGGCGGCGGCGGAGCCGGGAGCGGAGAGCGGGAUCAGAUUCUGAGGAAGAGCGACAUAGGAGAAAAGCAAAGAAAUAUCAGACCUCUGAAAGGGUUCAUAGAAGUCCAAGAAAGUCACGGCCCCGAUCUCGGGAACCUUCCCAGUCAGAUUCUGGGAGUGAGUCACGGAGGGGUCACAGGAGCAGGCAUAGGAGGAGACAUCGUCAUUCCAGAUCAUCUACCUCUUCAGUCUCUUCAGCAUCACCUUCACCACCCCGCUCUCAGAGCCCACAGGAAGCCCUGGACAAGAAAUUGAGCCUCCAGGAACGGCGGAGGCUAAAGGAAGAGAAAAAGCAGCAAGAAGAGUUGAUGAAGGCCUUUGAAACACCUGAGGAGAAAAGGGCCCGGAGACUGGCCAAGAAAGAGGCCAAAGAACGGAAGAAGAGAGAAAAGAUGGGCUGGGGUGAAGAAUAUAUGGGUUAUACUAAUACCGAUAAUCCCUUUGGAGACAAUAAUCUUCUGGGAACGUUCAUAUGGAACAAGGCACUAGAGAAGAAGGGGAUCAGCCACCUGGAAGAGAAGGAGCUGAAGGAGAGAAACAAGAGAAUCCAGGAAGACAAUCGACUAGAAUUGCAGAAGGUAAAACAGCUGCGAUUGGAGCGAGAGAGGGAGAAAGCCAUGCGGGAACAAGAGCUGGAGAUGCUGCAGAGGGAGAAGGAGGCAGAGCACUUCAAGACCUGGGAGGAGCAGGAAGACAACUUCCACCUUCAACAGGCUAAGCUUCGUUCUAAAAUCCGUAUAAGGGAUGGACGGGCCAAGCCCAUCGACCUCCUGGCCAAGUACAUCAGUGCAGAGGAUGACGACCUGGCUGUGGAGAUGCACGAGCCCUACACCUUCCUCAAUGGUCUCACAGUGUCAGACAUGGAAGACCUUCUGGAGGACAUUCAGGUAUACAUGGAAUUGGAACAGGGCAAGAAUGUAGACUUCUGGAGAGAUAUGACCAUCAUAACAGAGGAUGAGAUUUCCAAACUCCGCAAGCUCGAGGCAUCUGGAAAGGGCCCAGGAGAGCGUCGAGAAGGGGUAAAUGCCUCUGUCAGUUCUGAUGUACAAUCAGUGUUCAAAGGCAAGACCUACAAUCAGCUCCAGGUGAUCUUCCAGGGCAUCGAGGGCAAGAUCCGGGCAGGGGGGCCCAACCUGGACAUUGGCUACUGGGAAAGCCUGCUGCAGCAACUUAAGGCCCACAUGGCCAGAGCCAGGCUCCGUGAGCGCCACCAAGAUGUGCUCCGGCAGAAACUGUACAAGCUGAAGCAGGAGCAGGGCGUCGAGAGCGAGCCCCUAUUCCCUAUCCUCAAGAAAGAGCCAUCAUCUCCCAGUGAGAGGUCAGAGCCCGAAGAAGGAGCUCAGGCCCAGCCGGGGCCUUCCACGUCCAGGGCUUCCGAGGAGCCAGAGGCCGAAGGCGAGGCCCGGGCCGAGGGUGAGGGGGACGGCGAGGGCGAGGGGGAAGCCGUGCUGAUGGAGGAGGACCUGAUCCAGCAGAGCCUUGAGGACUAUGAUGCUGGCAAAUACAGCCCCAGGCUGCUCACCACGCACGAGCUGCCCUUCGACGCGCACGUGGUGGAGGUAGAGGAGGACCUUCAGCGCCUGCUGCUUUCUCGGCAGCAGCUGCAGGUGACAGGAGAUGCCAGUGAGAGCGCCGAAGACAUCUUCUUCCGCCGGGCCAAGGAGGGCAUGGGGGCAGACGAGGCCCAGUUCAGCGUGGAAAUGCCCCUCACCGGCAAGGCCUAUCUGUGGGCCGACAAAUACCGGCCCCGCAAGCCUCGCUUCUUCAACCGGGUCCACACGGGCUUCGAGUGGAACAAGUACAACCAGACCCACUACGACUUUGACAACCCCCCCCCGAAGAUUGUGCAAGGCUACAAGUUCAACAUCUUCUACCCGGACCUGAUCGACAAGCGCUCCACGCCCGAGUACUUCCUGGAGGCCUGCCAGGACAACAAGGACUUCGCCAUCCUGCGCUUCCACGCCGGGCCGCCCUACGAGGACAUCGCCUUCAAGAUUGUCAAUCGGGAGUGGGAGUACUCCCACCGACACGGCUUCCGCUGCCAGUUUGCCAACGGCAUCUUCCAGCUGUGGUUCCACUUCAAGCGCUACCGCUACCGGCGGUAGGGGGGCCUCGGCCCUGGACUGCGGCCCCCGAGAGGCCAGAGAUGGACAGACGGACACGCUCGCGUGCUGGCGGCCUCUGGGUCUCCAGGGCACAGCCACUGAGCACUCUAGGCGAUCAGAAAAAAGGCGAAAGUGAGAAUUGGAGCAGUCAAAGAAGGCUUUGAAUUAGCCUUGAAGGGGCUUUUGCUUUUACCAGUCUGGAUGUCGGCUCCAAGCCUUUAAAGCCAAACUUUGAGCAACGAAUCUCCCCUACACUUAACUGGGCAUAUCUUGUCCAGAGAUUGCAUUCUACUGCUAGUCUUGAACAAUCCGGAGUCAUUUAUGCCACAAGGAAGUGUGGGAAGAGCACUUGCCCAAAAGGAGAACACUUUUCCUACUUGCAUAUUUUUAAGCCCAUUUUUUUCCCUUAUUCUGUUAUCUCUGGCCAGGUCUUAAAGCAGGACUUUUUUUCACUCAUGUCUCCUUUUUGACUAAGAAAUCUCUAUGUGACCUCGGGAGUGUGUGUGUGUAUAUAUAUAUACAUGUAUAUAUAUAAAA